CCCUCAGACCCUCCUGUGUCCCAGUGCUGGGGGUCCCUGGCCCCUUGGACCCCCCUGUGUCCUGGUGCAGAUCUGGUGGAUCCCUGGCCCUGGGGACUCUCCAGUGCUGGUGUUGGGAUUAAACCCACAGGAUGUGCACUUUGGGAAACAACUCCUCCCUCUGCUCCCAUUCUGUGCUUUGGAGCUCUGUGUGGUUGUUACUCCAGAGGAUUCUCACACGGUUACAGCCUUUGCAGCUGGCACUCUGUCUUCCUGUUUUAAUAAAAUAUAGAUAAGGCUGGACAGUUUUUUAAAGCUAAAUGUGACUUAUUGGAGCAGUUAUACUGGCACUUUACAUGACAGUUUUACUGCCAUCUCAGCAAGUGUCAUUUAAACAUAAUAUAAUUUCUUCUCAAGUAAUAUAGAGUGGUUACAGAUAUAUAUUAUGUAAUCACAGAAAAGCAUUAAUAAAGAGGUUUUCUCCAGCCUUUUGAGGGAUUUCUUUUUCAGGCAGUGAAAUCUCAUCAGAGCUAAGCUAAUCAAUGUCAGCUAUAAUGUGGAAAAUAUUUUUAAUCAGUUGCUUUGAUGCCAGGAAAUGUAGGAUGAUUUUUCUUUUUUACCCUGAAGAAAGAUUAGUUAGCAAAGCAGUUAGUCAGAGGUAUGGAGCUCUUGUAUGAAUAUUGGUGUUUUGGCUAACAUCUUAUGAACCUGGAUGUGUAUAGAUGUCUUUUAGAGCCUUUUUUGAUAUAUUUCUCAUUGUUCUCCAACAUCCAACAGACACUUGCCUGUGGAGUCUGCCUUGCCUGGUGUGCUCUCUUGGAACCCCCCACCAUCUCAGCAGGCCCUGGAGGAGGUGGAUUCCCCCGUGUGCUGCUGAGUUGUCCCCUUCCAUGAGCUUUAUUGAUGAGUUUAAGCCACAUCAUCCUCUGACCUAAACCAGGACUGACUAAAGAGCAGCGGCCCUUUGAGUGAAACCCAGUGUUUUGCGAUGUUUCAUCAUAUUGGUCCCAGCAGGAGUGAAACCAGAAGUCAGAUGAUCUCCUCUCAAACUAACCUGAACUAGAAACCAGUAGAUGUUAAUUACUCGCUUGCCAGUGGUCUUGUCCUUCCUCCUGCAGUGUUGCUCUGGAGAGCUGCUCUUCUUGCUGUGUGCUGAUCCGUGUGGGACAGGGGGUUCCAGAUGCCUUCCAGUGUGUGAACGUGUCCAAUGGGCUUCUGAGUGGCUGCUGUAGGUUAAUUCAAGCCAGCUGAAUUCUGUUAAUUGUAUUUUUCUGUCUGAGUAGUUUUACUUAACAUGAGAAGCUAAAGUUACUGAAGCCUUAGGCUGAAUUUAUCUUAACACUUACCUUUGGCUGAACUUAAUUUGUCUUGAGCUCUUAGUUAUGUAAGCUGGAAGUUACGAAGUCACAACCAGAUCAAAACAGCUACUGGCCCACUGGGAGAGAGAGAAAGAAUCUACUAAGGUGUGAGAAGACCCCAGACCAAAAAUCACCAUUGAACCAAGAGCUGUGUGCAGGGUGUGAGAAGCAGGUGAGGAUGGGGUGCAGGGACUGUCAGGGUAUAACAGGCCAGGGAUUCCUUUGUUUGGGGUCCCUCCUCGGAGGCACCCAUCUCCAGCUGUUCCUACCACUGUAGCACUUGAAUUGGGCUUAAAGCUUGAGACUCUGCUGCAGGAUACCUGGGGAAUACAGAGAAAGUUCUGUAACAGUGACCUCACCUGCAUCCUCACAAAGUCCAAAGUCCCUCCUGGACAGAGCCAGCAGUGCUGAAGCAGAAGGUACAGGGUGAGGUGCAGGUGUGUGGGAUGUCACGUGUCCAGCAGAGCCUCAGAUGAAACCAGAGAUAUGUCCAGAGCCAGACCUCACUGCACUGGGGCCAGGUAGGUGGGACCAAGCCUCCUCCUGACCACCCCACAGUCUCGAGCUGGCUCCCAGCAGGAUGAGGUGUCAGUCAUCUGGGGCAUUUCAGAAGAGAGAUCUGGUUCUUGAGAGCAGGUCCUGUGAAGGACAUGGCUCUCCAGGCACCCUUCAGGUCUUCCUGGUAGCAGCACACUCAGACAAGAUGCUCAGAAGGCUCCGACCUCAUCCCUGUGGGCACAUGUGAGUGUCUGGGACAGCAGUAGGGAGCUGGGCAUUGAUACAUGCCUUCAAUGAGCCCUGUCCCCAGGUCCCAGAUAAAGCAGUCAGGUUUUUAGAUCACAUGUCUUUGAACAUCCUGCUGCCCAAAGCUAGUGGAAAGCAAUCCUGUUAUCGUUUACUUUAAACAGGCAUUUUGGAGAGUGUCUAGAGCUUUAGGGAUGUCUGCUUUCAUUUGUGAAGGAAACAAUGGUGUUUGUCUCCAGAAUGCGUUUUGGCUUGUCAGUAAACAUCACAGUGGCAUCAGCCUGCUCUGGCCCCAAGUUGAGAACAGCACUGCGCAGCUUGUGACGUGAUGUUCAUGCAGCUCAUUUGGAGUAGUCUGAGAAAGUGCUAAAAUGCAGUUCAAAUGGCACCAGCAGAAACUAUUUCAAUAAAAAUUUCUAGUGUUUUUAGUCA